CUGGCUCAGGACGAACGCUGGCGGCGUGCCUAACACAUGCAAGUCGAGCGGAUAGGUACUUUAAUGAACCUUCGGGGGAUUUAAAGUACUGAAAGCGGCGGACGGGUGAGUAACGCGUGGGGAACCUGCCCUAUGCAGGGGGAUAGCCUCGGGAAACCGGGAUUAAUACCCCAUAACACUUAUGGACCGCAUGGUGCAUAAGUCAAAG
rnacentral:rRNA from 1 species